CAAAGAAAAAGGAAUUCAACCUCCGCCCCUAACUCCCAAAGCUAGGAUUCUAAAUUAAACUAUUCUUUG
rnacentral:tRNA from 1 species